rnacentral:misc_RNA from 1 species
GUGCACAUGCUGUAGCAACCUAAAACAUCACGUUCCAUGUUUAGUAUUUGCAAUGAAAUCAAACAUAGGUGGAACUAGAACAUCAAUUAUUAAAUAUUGCAGAAAGAACACAUCAAGGAAUCUAACAUUGACUGCCACGAAAAUAUUCAAACCAGGACCAAGCAAUCAAAACAGAAAUCUAAUUAGAUGACAGAUGCUAGCCAUGUUCUUACAUGGUCAUGUCCACAUUACUUGUACAUCAGAUGUGAUCUUUAGCGUCAGCUAUUUUAUAUAUAAUCUAACUUUCAGCGAACCCACAUUGGAUUUAAUGUCCUUUCCAUGCAGAUUAGGCAUCAUAAUUUUAAAUUGGUUGAACAUCCAUUAAGCAGUCCAGUUAUGCUAUAUCAACCACUAGCAUAUGAAUUAAGAUUUUCAACUUGAAUGGCAGUACAUACGAAAGAUCGAUUAGCAUCUAAUGAAACUAAAAAUUGAUGUCUGCAUAAGCAAAGAUUUAAUAAAGUGCCAUUGGGUAAAAACUUGAUUGUGCAAAAAUGUAUGGACUAAAACUUGCUAGUGUUACGCCAGAUGUAAUUAAUACAUAACAUACCUCUAUACUUACCUCAUUAUAUAUAACAAAUCACAGAAGCUGGUCCAAAGAGAAAAGAUUUAUUCUCAAAUCUAUUGCUGACCUUAAACAGGAUUUGAGUAGAUAAUGUUAUAAAUUCGACAUAAAUGAAUGCCAUAUUCAACUCAACUAAGCUGUAAUUCCAAUCUAGUUGUGGUUAGCAAUAUGGAUAGUUCACCUCCAUUCCACUAGAUAAAGGGUGCCAUGCACACAAUUAAUAAUAUUUAUUCUAUCAAAAAUGGUAUAGAGAAGACAAGAGGAUGAUCCUCCCAACGCAUAUCUGAAUGCAUUUAUAAAACCAGAAGAAAGUAAGGCAGUUUUUUUUCCCUGCUAUCAAAACAAGUAUCAUAUACUAUUUAUUAUCAGCAUUAAGAAAAUAUUUUGGCUGAAAAAAGAAUUUAGGGGACAGGCUACUUCAUAUCAUCUUUUAAAGCAAGGCAACGCCUAGAAAGAGCUCAAAGCAUGUCUGUGGAGGAAGUCAGCAGAUUUAUCUGCAGAAAACUCAAAUCCAACUUUAAAGCUUUUGGAAAUGUUCAAUUUAAG